UCGACUAGGACACUCCCCCUGUCCACAGCACCCCAAAUCCCCCGUUAAGCCAUCUCUCGACUAGGACACUCCCCCUGUCCACAGCACCCCAAAUCCCCGUUAAGCCAUCUCUCGACUAGGACACUCCCCCUGUCCACAGCACCCCAAAUCCCCCGUUAAGCCAUCUCUCGACUAGGACACUCCCCCUGUCCACAGCACCCCAAACCCCCCGUUAAGCCAUCUCUCGACUAGGACACUCCCCCUGUCCACAGCACCCGAAACCCCCCGUUAAAGCCAUCUCUCGACUAGGUCUCACCAUCCAUGCCCAUAAGUCUACCCAAUACCACUGCCUAUCUAUCUACAGUUAGUCCGUCAUCACCCCUGAUUGGUUUCAUUAGAUCUGCGUUCUAUAUCAUCACGAGUGGUAUCAUCUUCAACGUAAUUAAUCAUUGUCAUCAGAAAUGUUUUAUGAUGCAAAUGCAAGGGGCAACAACAUCAACAAUUGCAUAUAUGGAGUGUUUUAGCGCCACCUAGAGGCUGUAGUGGUGUACUACAGAUCGAAAGAGAGCGAAGCCACAACUACAGGACAUUAUAAUAUAUUAUUUUAUUAUUUGUUUCUAUUAUAUAAUUUUAGCGUGCUAUUUUAUUUUGAUAGCAUUUACAGAGACUAAGAUAAAUUAACCACGAGAGAAAUGAUUUUCCUCCUGCUUGCUUGGCCUGGAUUUUAAACUCUCCUUAAAGUCUUUCUGAUACAGUAUUUUAUAGUUGUUAUAGAUGUCUGGGGGACAGUAAUUAUACUGUUAUAUAAAGUUUAUAUACUGUAAGUAUAUUCACUAUUAUAUAUAUAUAUAUAAUGACUAGUGAUCUAUGUCUCUACAGAUCUCUACUGGUGCCUUCAUGUCUCUAGCCAAGCCGGUGUUUACUAAAUAAAGUAUUGAGUGUGCGUCCGCACCGUUUUCCUUAUAUUAUAUGCAUUCGUUUUGCAGGGACGCAGCCAUUGUCACAUAACUCAACGGAUACAUCUAUAAGCAGCAAAGACUCAAUGACUUUGAUUCCAGUAAAAUACUAAAACGCGGUCGGUGAAUUGAAGGAGUGAAUCAAUGUCGUAACAAAGUGCCUCAUAGUCAAUUUUCCUUUAGAAACACUACGUUCCUUUAGAAACUACGACUAAGCCAUGUAGUAUCUAGAGUGUAUUGGUACCCCUUGCAUUAUGGGUAAUGUAGUACUACAUACACUAUGCUACACAACACAGAGAUGUCCUGUCAGAACUAGCGAGGUGGCCCUUGUCUACUAGUCUCUAAUGCUAAUCCAUAGCGAGGUGGCCCUUGUCUACUAGUCUCUGAUGCUAAUCCAUAGCGAGGUGGCCCUUGUCUACUAGUCUCUGAUGCUAAUCCAUAGCGAGGUGGCCCUUGUCUACUAGUCUCUGAUGCUAAUCCAUAGCGAGGUGGCCCUUGUCUACUAGUCUCUGAUGCUAAUCCAUAGCGAGGUGGCCCUUGUCUACUAGUCUCUGAUGCUAAUCCAUAGCGAGGUGGCCCUUGUCUACUAGUCUCUGAUGCUAAUCCAUAGCGAGGUGGCCCUUGUCUACUAGUCUCUGAUGCUAAUCCAUAGCGAGGUGGCCCUUGUCUACUAGUCUCUGAUGCUAAUCCAUAGCGAGGUGGCCCUUGUCUACUAGUCUCUGAUGCUAAUCCAUAGCGAGGUGGCCCUUGUCUACUAGUCUCUGAUGCUAAUCCAUAGCGAGGUGGCCCUUGUCUACUAGUCUCUGAUGCUAAUCCAUAGCGAGGUGGCCCUUGUCUACUAGUCUCUGAUGCUAAUCCAUAGCGAGGUGGCCCUUGUCUACUAGUCUCUGAUGCUAAUCCAUAGCGAGGUUGGCCCUUGUCCACUAGUCUCUAAUGCUAAUCCAUAGCGAGGUGGCCCUUGUCUACUAGUCUCUGAUGCUAAUCCAUAGCGAGGUGGCCCUUGUCUACUAGUCUCUGAUGCUAAUCCAUAGCGAGGUGGCCCUUGUCUACUAGUCUCUGAUGCUAAUCCAUAGCGAGGUGGCCCUUGUCCACUAGUCUCUAAUGCUAAUCCAUAGCGAGGUGGCCCUUGUCUACUAGUCUCUGAUGCUAAUCCAUAGCGAGGUGGCCCUUGUCUACUAGUCUCUGAUGCUAAUCCAUAGCGAGGUGGCCCUUGUCUACUAGUCUCUGAUGCUAAUCCAUAGCGAGGUGGCCCUUGUCCACUAGUCUCUAAUGCUAAUCCAUAGCGAGGUGGCCCUUGUCUACUAGUCUCUGAUGCUAAUCCAUAACGAGGUGGCCCUUGUCUACUAGUCUCUGAUGCUAAUCAAUAGCGAUGUGGCCCUUGUCUACUAGCCUCAUGCUAAUCCAUAGCAGACAGUACAGAUCAAUGUUGUAUCACUGUGAUCAUCCCCAUUUCAACUCCUCAUGUGUUUCAGUAAGUCAAACCUCUGAUAUAAGAUACAAUGAACAGACACGUAACAUCUAAGAAUCUUGUCUGCACUUCUCUCUCCUCCCCCCUCAUCCCUCCCUUCCCUCAUCCUUUCUUCCUCCCUCCCUCCCUCCCUUCCCUCCUUCAUUCCUUCCCUCCCUCCCUUCCUCCGUUCCCUCCUCCAUUCCUCCCCCUCAUCCCUCCCUUCCCUCAUCCUUUCUUCCUCCCUCCCUCCCUUCCCUCCUUCAUUCCUUCCCUCCCUCCCUUCCUCCCUUCCCUCCUCCAUUCCUCCCCCCUCAUCCCUCCCUUCUCUCCUCCCUUCCUCCCUCCCUCCCUUCCCUCCUUCAUUCCUUCCCUCCCUCCCUUCCUCCCUUCCCUCCUCCAUUCCUCCCCCUCAUCCCUCCCUUCCCUCCUCCAUUCCUCUCCCCCUUCCUCCCUUCCCUCCUCCAUUCCUCCCCCUCAUCCCUCCCUUCUCUCCUCCCUUCCUCCCUCAGGCUCUGGUGACUUGCCUGUUGCUAAAUAUGAAUUAUUAUACACUAUUGGUUCAUCUGAAAUGGCACCCUAUUCCCUAUAUGGGCCCUGGUCAAAAAGUAGUGCACUACGUAGGGAAUAGGGUUUAAUUUGAGACGCAGACUAUGUUGUUGAGUUUUUAGGAUACUGACUGACUACAAGGGCAUUUUGAUACUGGUCUUCUAUGCAUUUUGUAAGACUCGCUUAUUUAGUUAUUUGCUGUAGGAGUUUUGUUUCACCACGCUAUAGCUAUAAACAGGGCACUCUGACGGUGUGCUUUAGUUCAGUUAGUAGACAGAGUAACAAGAGUUUUGGUAAAUGUACAGAUUAAAAAUGUGUGCCGGGACUUUGGUACAUACACACUUAUGCAUCCAAUAUUUACCUCGUCCUCUCCUGAGCAAUAAAAAAGCCAUUGUUUCUCACGUCUGCUGGAGUUAUGCAACAUGUAGCUUCACAUUGAGCUCAAUGAGGUAAAAUAAAAAACCUGGGUCGUGUUCAUUAUGCACCAAACGGAAGAAAACGGUCUGAAACGGGGCAGGGACUAUACCUGAAACGCUAAUUUUCGUUUUUGUUUGUUUUGUGUUUUGCGAAACAUUUUAAAACGUUGCGUGGCCUAAUGAAUGUAACCGUGCUAGAAGGUAAAGCAUGGAUUGAGGUAUAUGUGAUAUUUGGGCUGGAGUUAUCUUUAAACCAGCCUUUGACUAAAAAAAAAAAAAUGGCAAUGAAUGAACUACUGUAGUUGAUAAAGUAUUACAUUGUAUUUGAUUAUAAAGGGUUUUAGAGAAUGACCAUUUUAACGUGCUUGUCUGCGCUGACAGGCGGGAGCGAAGAGACACCAUUUUGUCACUGGAAGAUUUGAAGCAAAGCAAGCUAAUCUACUUCUGAUAGGUCAAAACACCACUCCAAACUAUAGACGGUGUUUGUAGCAUUACAUUCUGAUAGGUCAAAACACCACUCCAAACUAUAGACGGUGUUUGUAGCAUUACAUUCUGAUUGGUCAAAACACCACUCCAAACUAUAGACGGUGUUUGUAGCAUUACAUUCUGAUUGGUCAAAACACCACUCCAAACUAUAGACGGUGUUUGUAGCAUUACAUUCUGAUAGGUCAAAACACCACUCCAAACUAUAGACGGUGUUUGUAGCAUUACAUUCUGAUAGGUCAAAACACCACUCCAAACUAUAGACGGUGUUUGUAGCAUUACAUUCUGAUAGGUCAAAACACCACUCCAAACUAUAGACGGUGUUUGUAGCAUUACAUUCUGAUAGGUCAAAACACCACUCCAAACUAUAGACGGUGUUUGUAGCAUUACAUUCUGAUAGGUCAAAACACCACUCCAAACUAUAGACGGUGUUUGUAGCAUUACAUUCUGAUAGGUCAAAACACCACUCCAAACUAUGGACGGUGUAUGUAGCAUUACAUUCUGAUAGGUCAAAACACCAUAGAGCAAACACAAUACUGUAUGUAGCACACAGGCAUUUUCAGAGGGACAUUUUGCAUGCAGAACACCAUACUCCAAACCACAAAGGGUUUGUCUCUCUCUCUCUCUCUCUCUCUCUCUCUCUCUCUCUCUCUCUCUCUCUCUCUCUUUCUCUCUC